rnacentral:rRNA from 1 species
UACGUAGGGUGCGAGCGUUAAUCGGAAUUACUGGGCGUAAAGCGUGCGCAGGCGGUUCUCCAAGGCCGUUGUGAAAGCCCCGGGCUUAACUUGGGAAUUGCGCUCGAAACUACUUGGCUGGAGUGUGGCAGAGGAAGGUGGAAUUCCAGGUGUAGCGGUGAAAUGCGUAGAGAUGUGGAGGAACACCGAUGGCGAAGGCAGCCCCCUGGGCUAACACUGACGCUCAUGCACGAAAGCGUGGGGAGCAAACAGG